rnacentral:rRNA from 1 species
GAUGAACGCUGGCGGCGUGCCUAAUACAUGCAAGUCGAGCGAACAGACGAGGAGCUUGCUCCUCUGACGUUAGCGGCGGACGGGUGAGUAACACGUGGAUAACCUACCUAUAAGACUGGGAUAACUUCGGGAAACCGGAGCUAAUACCGGAUAAUAUAUUGAACCGCAUGGUUCAAUAGUGAAAGACGGUUUUGCUGUCACUUAUAGAUGGAUCCGCGCCGCAUUAGCUAGUUGGUAAGGUAACGGCUUACCAAGGCAACGAUGCGUAGCCGACCUGAGAGGGUGAUCGGCCACACUGGAGCUGGGACACGGUCCAGACUCCUACGGGAGGCAGCAGUAGGGAAUCUUCCGCAAUGGGCGAAAGCCUGACGGAGCAACGCCGCGUGAGUGAUGAAGGUCUUCGGAUCGUAAAACUCUGUUAUUAGGGAAGAACAAAUGUGUAAGUAACUAUGCACGUCUUGACGGUACCUAAUCAGAAAGCCACGGCUAACUACGUG